rnacentral:rRNA from 1 species
AACAGGAUUAGAUACCCUGGUAGUCCACGCUGUAAACGAUGAUCACUGGUUGUUAGCGAUAUACCGUUAGCGACUGAGCGAAAGCAUUAAGUGAUCCACCUGGGGAGUACGUCGGCAACGAUGAAACUCAAAGGAAUUGACGGGGGCCCGCACAAGCGGAGGAACAUGUGGUUUAAUUCGAUGAUACGCGAGGAACCUUACCUGGGCUCGAACGCGGUAGGAAUACAGGUGAAAGCUUGUAGCUAGCAAUAGCCUACUGCGAGGUGCUGCAUGGUUGUCGUCAGCUCGUGCCGUGAGGUGUCGGCUUAAGUGCCAUAACGAGCGCAACCCUUAUUGUUAGUUGCCAGCGGGUAAAGCCGGGGACUCUAGCAAAACUGCCAGCGUAAGCUGUGAGGAAGGCGGGGAUGACGUCAAAUCAGCACGGCCCUUACGUCCAGGGCUACACACGUGUUACAAUGGCCGGUACAGAGGGCAGCUACACCGUAAGGUGAUGCGAAUCUCUAAAGCCGGUCUCAGUUCGGAUUGAAGUCUGCAACUCGACUUCAUGAAGUUGGAUUCGCUAGUAAUCGCGCAUCAGCCACGGCGCGGUGAAUACGUUCCCGGGCCUUGUACACACCGCCCGUCAAGCCAUGGGAGCCGGGGGUACCUGAAGUUCGUGACCGCAAGGAGCGACCUAGGGUAAAACUGGUGACUGGGGCUAAGUCGUAACAAGGUAGC